GAUGAACGCUGGCGGCGUGCUUAACACAUGCGAGUCGAACGAGAAAUGGAGACGGAAACCUUCGGGCGGAAGGCUUCAUUUCGAGUGGCGGACGGGUGAGUAACGCGUGGGUAACCUGCCUCAUACAGGGGGAUAACAGUUGGAAACGACUGUUAAUACCGCAUAAGACCACAGCACCGCAUGGUGCGGGGGUAAAAACUCCGGUGGUAUGAGAUGGACCCGCGUUCGAUUAGCCAGUUGGCGGGGUAACGGCCCACCAAAGCGACGAUCGAUAGCCGAUCUGAGAGGAUGACCGGCCACAUUGGGACUGAGACACGGCCCAAACUCCUACGGGAGGCAGCAGUGGGGAAUAUUGCACAAUGGGGGAAACCCUGAUGCAGCGACGCCGCGUGAGUGAAGAAGUACUUCGGUAUGUAAAGCUCUAUCAGCAGGGAAGAAAAUGACGGUACCUGAGUAAGAAGCCCCGGCUAACUACGUG
rnacentral:rRNA from 1 species